rnacentral:rRNA from 1 species
GACGAACGCUGGCGGCGUGCUUAACACAUGCAAGUCGAGCGGUAAGGCUCCUUCGGGAGUACACGAGCGGCGAACGGGUGAGUAACACGUGAGCAAUCUGCCCUUCACUCUGGGAUAACCCCCGGAAACGAGAGCUAAUACCGGAUACGACCACUUCAGGCAUCUGAUGGUGGUGGAAAGUUCCGGCGGUGAAGGAUGAGCUCGCGGCCUAUCAGCUUGUUGGUGAGGUAAUGGCUCACCAAGGCUUCGACGGGUAGCCGGCCUGAGAGGGUGACCGGCCACACUGGGACUGAGACACGGCCCAGACUCCUACGGGAGGCAGCAGUGGGGAAUAUUGCACAAUGGGCGAAAGCCUGAUGCAGCGACGCCGCGUGAGGGAUGACGGCCUUCGGGUUGUAAACCUCUUUCAGCAGGGAAGAAGCGAAAGUGACGGUACCUGCAAAAGAAGCACCGGCUAACUACGUGCCAGCAGCCGCCGUAACAC